GGAACCCGCGACAGUAACAUUGAAAGUGGCCGAUGAGCCUGCCCUGGAAUACUCAGCUUAUGUGUUCUGUUUGCCUGAUAAAACUGUAGGGGGUACUACUGUCGUUACUGCCUCCUCUUCAACUUCCGGUGUGACAUACACAUUAGGAGGUACCGAUGCAGGGAGCUUUGACAUCUCUUCAGGCAAGAUCUCGCUCAAGUCUACCGUGACCUUAGCGUACUCCACCAACCC